rnacentral:rRNA from 1 species
AUACGUAGGUGACAAGCGUUAUCCGGAUUUACUGGGCGUAAAGGGCGUGUAGGCGGUCUUGCAAGUCAGAAGUGAAAUUCCCGAGCUCAACUCGGGCGCUGCUUCUGAAACUGCAGGACUUGAGUGCUGGAGGGGAUAGCGGAAUUCCUAGUGGAGCGGUAAAAUGCGCAGAUAUUAGGAAGAACACCGGUGGCGAAGGCGGCUAGCUGGACAGUAACUGACGCGGAGCCGCGAAAGCGUGGGGAGCAAACAGGAUUAGAGACCCGGGUAGUCCACGCCGUAAACGAUGAAUACUAGGUGUAGGGUGUAUCGACUCCCUCUGUGCCGCAGUUAACACAAUAAGUAUUCCGCCUGGGGAGUACGGCCGCAAGGUUGAAACUCAAAUGAAGUGACGGG